rnacentral:rRNA from 1 species
CAAGUCGAACGGCAGCACGGAGAGCUUGCUCUCUGGUGGCGAGUGGCGAACGGGUGAGUAAUAUAUCGGAACGUAUCCAAUAAUGGGGGAUAACGAGUCGAAAGAUUCGCUAAUACCGCAUACGCCCUACGGGGGAAAGCAGGGGAUCGUAAGACCUUGCGUUAAUGGAGCGGCCGAUAUCUGAUUAGCUUGUUGGUGAGGUAAAGGCUCACUAAGGCGACGAUCAGUAGCUGGUUUGAGAGAACGACCAGCCACACUGGAACUGAGACACGGUCCAGACUCCUACGGGAGGCAGCAGUGGGGAAUUUUGGACAAUGGGGGCAACCCUGAUCCAGCCAUUCCGCGUGAGUGAAGAAGGCCUUCGGGUUGUAAAGCUCUUUCGCAAGGGAAGAAAACUUAUGAUCGAAUAAAUCAUGAGGUUGACGGUACCUUGAUAAGAAGCACCGGCUAACUACGUGCCAGCAGCCGCGGUAAUACGUAGGGUGCGAGCGUUAAUCGGAAUUACUGGGCGUAAAGCGUGCGCAGGCGGUUUUGUAAGUCGGAUGUGAAAUCCCCGGGCUCAACCUGGGAACUGCGUUCGAAACUGCAAGGCUAGAGUGUGUCAGAGGGGGGUAGAAUUCCACGUGUAGCAGUGAAAUGCGUAGAGAUGUGGAGGAAUACCAAUGGCGAAGGCAGCCCCCUGGGAUAACACUGACGCUCAUGCACGAAAGCGUGGGGAGCAAACAGGAUUAGAUACCCUGGUAGUCCACGCCCUAAACGAUGUCAACUAGUUGUUGGUAGAGUAAAAUCUAUGAGUAACGUAGCUAACGCGUGAAGUUGACCGCCUGGGGAGUACGGUCGCAAGAUUAAAACUCAAAGGAAUUGACGG